AACUUCAAUUCCUUUCUCAUAUGGUGCUUGAGAUAUUUUGAUACAAACGGCUUCACCUCAGAUGGACGGUUGCGGCAUAUUGCCAUCCGAGGAAGUAUUGAUCGAUGAGGUUAAGUCCUGUGCAAAAGACAUUGGUGCAGGUGCAGUCACAAUUGCAGGUAUGGUAUGAGGCAGCACCCGUGCGGUUGUGGAGAUGACCGUCAGUGCUGCGAUCUCUGCCUGCCAAUUAAAUGGCAUGACAGAUUUUGGUACAGUUAUCAAAGAGUGAAAUCGAAGAUGAGAAAAUGGCCAGGAAGGUUUGCAAAAUUCUUUCUUCUUCCGAACCGAACAGGAACGUUGAUAUCACAAUCAAUUUUAAAUUGUGAAUCAACAAAUUAAAUGAACAAUAUAGUGGAAUGAUUUGUCUCAUAAAGGAGGUACCAAUUCAAUGAAGGCGGCACAUGCUAGGAAACCCUCGUGUUUAUGCUAGAAAAAUGCUCCUUCCAAUAAAUAAGUUUAAAUGAAAGAUACAAUUGGUAGAAAAAACUACACCAAAGCUUUGUAUUAACAUUGUGUCUCGUUCUGACUUUUUUUUCGUAAAUUACUUAUUUAUCCUUUUCACCUAUAUAUAUGUAGUUGUGGGUGGGAUUUCAAUUUCAGCUGUUCCCACUAUACUAUAUUUCAUAACUUCACUACUUCAUAACUUUCAUAUUCUUCAGUUGAGUACGGUUCCAUUUCUGUCCGGUUCAUUCUUCAUCUAUGGUUUCUUUGGGAUCAAGCAUCAAGGUUUAUGUUUUCUGAAGCAUCAAGAGUUGGCCUGUACGUACACCGAGGCCUGUUGCAUCAAAACUUGCAGCUAAUACUUCUAUUCUUACUGGUUAGAUAAGCCCAAUUUUUAUUAUCAGAAUCAAACCUAGCUUGCAUGCAUUGCCUUAGUAGUCUGAGUGAAGGGCUUAUAUUUAUUGGCUGUUGAUUUCCCAUAUAUCUUCUUGGUGAACCAAGUAAUAGUUCUGAUUGUGUCUUUCACUUGGCAGGUUAUGAGAAAAAAAUUGUUAAAAUAUGUUCGUGUCAGGGAGUUUGCUCCAGAAAAUCCGUUUUUGCAAUGUAUAUAUGAAGACUGGAAUGAAAUAUGGGACUACAUACUUUUUCCAGAUUUUUUUGUUGAGAUUGAUGUUAGUCUCGUGAGGAAAUUACUUUUAAUAACUUCAUUAUGGCAUAUAAUAAUUUAGGUAUGAAUCUUUAAUUAUGGUUCUUAAGCUUAAGUAUUGUUUUGAAUGCGGGCAACAUGUGGUUCCUUUACAAAUAUUUUAUGCAUAAUCUUAUAUUAGGACAUUUCAUAAUAGUGAGUUUGGGAAUGUUGUGGUGGGUUUGUGUUUUUUUUUCUACAUUUGUGAAUUUAUGGCUGUAUAGUUUGGUUGGAGAUAUCUUAGUAAGCUCUGGCUUGGUGUUUUUAUUGGUUUUGUAGGGAAAAGAUAGUGAGGGAUUCAAUUUUGAAAUAUUAUUGUAAAAAACAUGAUAUGGUUGCUUACAUAUUCUAUCUGAGGAAGAUUUGGAAAUUGACAUGCUUUUUCUACUAUUUUCAGAUAUUAAUUUAUGGGAUAAACUUUACAUACUUUUUAAUCUAACUUCUUUGAAUGUGUUUGGCCGUUUUCAAGUAAAAUUGAUUUUAAUUUUAGAAUUUAUUUAUGGGAUAAACUUUGCAUUUUAAUCUAACUUUUGUAGAAUUCAUAACUUUUGUCUUCUUAAAGAAUAUACAGGUUCACACUUUGGGUUUUUAUUAUUGUCACAAUUUGAAGUUUUUGUUCAAGUUGGACAAACUCCCCGGCCUUAAAACAUUGU